rnacentral:rRNA from 1 species
CAGUCGCCGCGGUAAUACGUAGGGUGCGAGCGUUAAUCGGAAUUACUGGGCGUAAAGCGUGCGCAGGCGGUUGUGUAUGACAGGUGUGAAAUCCCCGGGCUUAACCUGGGAACUGCGCUUGUGACUGCACAGCUAGAGUAUGGCAGAGGGGGGUGGAAUUCCACGUGUAGCAGUGAAAUGCGUAGAGAUGUGGAGGAACACCGAUGGCGAAGGCAGCCCCCUGGGCCAAUACUGACGCUCAUGCACGAAAGCGUGGGGAGCAAACAGGAUUAGAUACCCCCGUAGUCCCUGUCUCUUAUAC